ACCCUAGUCCCUUACAUCUCAUAUAUAUAUGCACUGAUGUUUACUGGUCCCUCUCAUUCUUAACACAACUGAAUCUAUUGCGGCUGAUAUGAAGGCAGCUCACAACAAUGAACAAGAGGAUGAUGACCAUGAUGAUGGAAUCCGUUUCCAACAUGAAUUGUCUUCAUGGAUUCUUCAUAAUUGGUUCAAUGAUUCACCAAGUUAAUUGGUAAGUUUUUCUCUUCACUUUCUUUCCUUUAUUUGAUGACGCGUUCAUUUAUGCCUAGGUGUUUAAAUAAAUUAUCUCUUGCAAAUACUAUGGUUCCUUUAAAAUAUUCACGAUUGAAAAGAACAUUUUAAUUUUAUUAGUUGUUGUAUCUUUUUUAAUAGAAGUUAAGUCGCCUGAUAUUAAGUCUUUCAAACUUAAUUUUUUUAUUAGAUUCAAAAGAUUUCUCUUACCUAGAACAAAUGGUUAAUUCAACAUUGAAUGAAGAGAUACAAUUCAAAUUUCCUAAUCUGAAAGCUGAAAUAAACAAUAACCAAUGGUUCAAUUUUUUUUCUGUUUGUGUGUUCACAUUUGGUAGAAGUAGUAUCAGUUGUGUUUAAUCAAUGGACUAAACAUAUCUAUAUACCUACAUAAAAGCAGGACAUUAGCCCGGUGACGUGACAUAACUAAAACGCAGAAAUGGUAUUUAUCUUUUUUUUUACAAUUUUUUGACAAUUAAUUCCAUUUCACGGGUAAAUCAAACUGUACGAAAGUAAAAGCGGCGCUUUGCAACCCAGCCUAUUGAAAUUCCUCCUUUUUCCCUACCAUUCCUCUCUCUCUCUCUUCAUUCAUUGACACUCAGCGGAAAAAGAGAAAUCUACGGUUUCAAAAUUCUAUGAAAACCGUUUGAAGUCAAAAACCUGACUAAUCUUCAUCUGAAAUCCAACUAAUUUAAUUAGAUACUCAUGGUGUGACAUAACAUUAAAUUUGUCCAUAGCUUGUGAUAUCUUUUGCAUAUCUUCUCCGAGUUUCUGGUCCAUGGAUAUUUCAAGUUCUUGCAGUGCCUUUUCUUGAUGCUCUAAAAAUCCAACAAAAAGAAUUAUGAAGAUAUUUCACCUGUAGCUCUAGCUUUCUAGAUAUAAAGCUACUCCGAAUAUUUAAAAACACAUCAAGCACACAAUUAGAUUAACAUUCUUCUUACAUAUUAACUAACAUUCUCAUUUGAAAUUGCAAUUCUAAACAUAUCAUGUUGUGGCAUUCUUUUUGCAUAGUUGUGUACUUGUGUUAGUGGAGCUACUAUUAUCUAUUUUACCAAGGAACUCCAUUUCUAAAUUGAGUAUCUCCAUGCUCACAUGAAAAUCUGCUCAUUAGAUCCUAUGUUGUCUGCUUUUGCUUCACUUGCCUGGCUUUCCGCUAAAUGUGCUGCUCAACCAGAGCAUCUUUUGUCAUCCUUCUGAUAUUUCAUGUCUUUCAAAAUUUGGGGCAACUCAUCUAUUUUUGGAGAGGUCUCAAUUAUAUGAAUUUCGGUAUGACGUCCCUUCCUAUCAGUAGAUUGAAGAUUGAUUGGCUUCUCUAAUCUAGAUGAUACUUCCUUCGACAGCACAUUUUGAUCACCAUUUUUGUUCCCUCUUCUUUGCAUGAGCACUGCGAGGUAGAAGAGUAUCGAUGCUUGGUAAGAACUACUUGCUUUACUCCAUUUGAAAAAUCUUUUGAAGGUGCUUCAUUUUUUAACUUCGUAGAAUUUUUCUCACCAAGUAUGGAUUGGUUCAUGGAAGACCGCUUCUUCUUUGAACUUGCUGCACCGUUCCUUGGUUUGGGUGAAGUCAUGGUUUCCACUUUAUUAUUAGAACUUUCUUGGCAGUAUGGAUGUAAUUGAGUGUGUUUCUUGCCUUAGCAUGCUUUCAACAAAUCUUGGAGAAGAUCAGAUGCUUGCUGUAGUAUGCAUAUUCCAUUCAGCUACAAGAGCUCUUGAAAAUUAUCAAAAUGGAAAUGUGAAUUGCGCUAGUGCUCUUGACAUAUUACCAUCUAAGCUUAGAAUUUCCAUCAAUGGUCGAUAUUUGGUUAUAUGCCUUGAGUAUAUAAGGUAACACAUUAUUUUACAGCCAUGUCUGGUCAAUGCUAUAUGGAAAAAAGAAUGUCUAAGGUACUUGCUUUUUCUUUCAUGCCAUAUACAUGAGGAGUCAGCAGUGAUCCCCAAAGAGAAUUUUUUCUUUUGCACCCUACUUUAUCUAACGGAGAAACUUCUUUAGGUUUUUGGGUUACACGGUUAAUACGAUAGUCCUUCCUACAAAGCAUUACUGCUUCAGAUCAUGGUCUUCGGGAAAUAUUAUUUUAUCAGAUACUCGCCACUUGCCCUAAUCAUUGUCGAGAAAAUAAAACAUAAGGCAAUCAUUCUUGUAUUAGGCAAAAUUCGUAGGAUACACACAAAUUUAGUGGUGGCACAUGGCAACGAUGACGAGUCGGACUUGAGUCAGCAAAAGAGAUUCCUUGGGAACGUUCGGGCUGCACCAGAGACACAAUAAGGCUCCUUGUUCCACAAAAUUAAAGAAGUUUUCAAAGCCCAACGGUUAGCGAUUACACAAAGACCUUGAGCCUUCCACGGGCCAUUAAUGAGCAUAACUGCAAUCUUUAUUACUCAUCAUUGCCCUAGCAUUGCUAUCGAUAUUAAUAGGGACACAAUUCAUGGAGUGUGUUCCCAAUAGCUCAAGUAUAAAUAGGAGUUUUCAUUUCAUUGUAACAUCAUCUGAAACUUCACACAGAAAAUACAUCAUACUUACAUUGUUCUCAGCUUUUUCUUGUUCUUAUACAAUUUAGCAAAGGCUUCAACUAUAUGCUUGACCAGAGACUCUAGCUCAAAGCUUCUCCAAGGCUCAAGCUAUUUACUUUGAUUAUUUUUUUAAUUAUAUUUUAAUAAUCUUA